rnacentral:rRNA from 1 species
CCUACGGGGGGCAGCAGUGAGGAAUAUUGGUCAAUGGACGAGAGUCUGACCCAGCCAAGUAGCGUGAAGGAUGACUGCUCUAGGGGUUGUAAACUUCUUUUAUAUGGGAAUAAAACAGGGUAUGCAUACCCUCUUGUAUGUACCAUAUGAAGAAGGAGCGGCUAACUCCGUGCCAGCAGCCGCGGUAAUACGGAGGGUCCGAGCGUUAUCCGGAUUUAUUGGGUGUAAAGGGAGCGUAGGUGGAUUGUUAAGUCAGUUGUGAAAGUUUGCGGCUCAACCGUAAAAUUGCAGUUGAAACUGGCGGUCUUGAGUACAGUAGAGGUAGGCGGAAUUCGUGGUGUAGCGGUGAAAUGCUUAGAUAUCACGAAGAACUCCGAUUGCGAAGGCAGCUCGCUGGACAGCAACUGACACUGAUGCUCGAAAGUGUGGGUAUCAAACAGGAUUAGAUACCCGAGUAGUC